rnacentral:rRNA from 1 species
CAGUAGCCGCGGGAAUACGUAGGGUGCGAGCGUUAAUCGGAAUUACUGGGCGUAAAGCGGGCGCAGACGGUUACUUAAGCAGGAUGUGAAAUCCCCGGGCUCAACCUGGGAACUGCGUUCUGAACUGGGUGACUAGAGCGUGUCAGAGGGAGGUAGAAUUCCACGUGUAGCAGUGAAAUGCGUAGAGAUGUGGAGGAACACCGACGGCGAAGGCAGCCCCCUGGGCCAAUACUGACGCUCAUGCACGAAAGCGUGGGGAGCAAACAGGAUUAGAUACCCCCGUAGUCCCUGUCUCUUAUAA